rnacentral:piRNA from 1 species
UAAAUAAAGAGGACUGUAAAUAU